rnacentral:rRNA from 1 species
AUUGAACGCUGGCGGCAUGCUUUACACAUGCAAGUCGAACGGUAACAGGUCUUCGGAUGCUGACGAGUGGCGAACGGGUGAGUGAUACAUCGGAACGUGCCUAGUAGUGGGGGAUAACUACUCGAAAGAGUAGCUAAUACCGCAUGAGAUCUACGGAUGAAAGCAGGGGACCUUCGGGCCUUGUGCUACUAGAGCGGCUGAUGGCAGAUUAGGUAGUUGGUGGGGUAAAGGCUUACCAAGCCUGCGAUCUGUAGCUGGUCUGAGAGGACGACCAGCCACACUGGGACUGAGACACGGCCCAGACUCCUACGGGAGUCAGCAGUGGGGAAUUUUGGACAAUGGGCGAAAGCCUGAUCCAGCAAUGCCGCGUGCAGGAUGAAGGCCCUCGGGUUGUAAACUGCUUUUAUACGGAACGAAAAGCCUGGGGCUAAUAUCCCCGGGUCAUGACGGUACCGUAAGAAUAAGCACCGGCUAACUACGUGCCAGCCGCCGCGGUAA